GAUGAAGAACGUAGCGAAAUGCGAUAAGUAAUGUGAAUUGCAGAAUUCAGUGAAUCAUCGAAUCUUUGAACGCACCUUGCGCCCUUUGGCUAUUCCGAAGGGCAUGCCUGUUUGAGUAUCAUGAACACCUCAACUCUCAUGGCUUGCUGUGAUGAGCUUGGAAUUUGGGGGUCUUGUUGGCUUGUGAGCCAGCUCCUCCUAAAUGAAUUAGCUUGCCGGUGUUUGGUGGCAUCACAGGUGUGAUAACUAUCUACUCUUGUGGUUUCCCAUCAGGUAACCUCCAGUGAUGGAGGUUCGCUGGGGCUCAUAAAUGUCUCUCCUCAGUGAGGACAGAUUUUGACUGUUUGAUCUCAAAUCAGGUAGGACUACCCGCUGAACUUAAGCAUAUCAAUAAGCGGAGGA
rnacentral:misc_RNA from 1 species